AUAUCUGAGAGUAACUGUUCAGGUAUUGACGGUAUUUAACCAGAAAGCCACGGCUAACUACGUGCCAGCAGCCGCGGUAAUACGUAGGUGGCAAGCGUUGUCCGGAUUUAUUGGGCGUAAAGCGAGCGCAGGCGGUUUUUUAAGUCUGAUGUGAAAGCCUUCGGCUCAACCGAAGAAGUGCAUCGGAAACUGGGAAACUUGAGUGCAGAAGAGGACAGUGGAACUCCAUGUGUAGCGGUGAAAUGCGUAGAUAUAUGGAAGAACACCAGUGGCGAAGGCGGCUGUCUGGUCUGUAACUGACGCUGAGGCUCGAAAGUAUGGGUAGCAAACAGGAUUAGAUACCCUGGUAGUCCAUACCGUAAACGAUGAAUGCUAAGUGUUGGAGGGUUUCCGCCCUUCAGUGCUGCAGCUAACGCAUUAAGCAUUCCGCCUGGGGAGUACGGCCGCAAGGCUGAAACUCAAAGGAAUUGACGGGGGCCCGCACAAGCGGUGGAGCAUGUGGUUUAAUUCGAAGCUACGCGAAGAACCUUACCAGGUCUUGACAUACUAUGCAAAUCUAAGAGAUUAGACGUUCCCUUCGGGGACAUGGAUACAGGUGGUGCAUGGUUGUCGUCAGCUCGUGUCGUGAGAUGUUGGGUUAAGUCCCGCAACGAGCGCAACCCUUAUUAUCAGUUGCCAGCAUUAAGUUGGGCACUCUGGUGAGACUGCCGGUGACAAACCGGAGGAAGGUGGGGAUGACGUCAAAUCAUCAUGCCCCUUAUGACCUGGGCUACACACGUGCUACAAUGGAUGGUACAACGAGUUGCGAACUCGCGAGAGUAAGCUAAUCUCUUAAAGCCAUUCUCAGUUCGGAUUGUAGGCUGCAACUCGCCUACAUGAAGUCGGAAUCGCUAGUAAUCGCGGAUCAGCAUGCCGCGGUGAAUACGUUCCCGGGCCUUGUACACACCGCCCGUCACACCAUGAGAGUUUGUAACACCCAAAGUCGGUGGGGUAACCUUUUAGGAACCAGCCGCCUAAGGUGGGACAGAUGAUUAGGGUGAAGUCGUAACAAGGUAGCCGUAGGAGAACCUGCGGCUGGAUCACCUCCUUU
rnacentral:rRNA from 1 species